rnacentral:lncRNA from 1 species
GCGCUACUCACUCGUGUAGGAGCCUUGACACAAGCCCAGCAGAGUGCUCCUGGCCGCCCUGCUCUGCCACCCUGCAAAAAUAACCCUGAAUAACCCUCGAAGAGUGACCUGGGUCCCGCUUCCCACCCAAGCCCCAGAGUAGCUUCUCAUGGAUCCUGGGCAGCCGCUCCCGGUUGGAAGUAACAGAAAGCCGGCCCUGCAGGGAGGACUGGCAGGGAAGGCCAAGCUGCCGCUGACCCCUGCAGUGUCCAUGGUGGCCCGUGAGCUUGCUGGCGAUCAUAGACGGGACGUCCUGGAGGGUCUGCAGCCCUGGUGGCCCCUCUAGACUGCAGAAGAGAGAGAGGAAGCUCUGGACUGAGGCCGAACGUCCCAGGGAAUGCAGCUGGGAGUGUCUUGGGGGAAAUUUAACUUUGACCGUCCACAGAAACCACGCGAGAAGGGUCCUGAUCGAGUGAGACGCACGUUCACAGGAAGAAACCCAAGCCCAGGGAAAACUAAAACUGGGUCUCAUCAGAAUUUAAAAUCUCUGCUUAUCACGAGAUGUUGAGAAAGUGGUGAACUAGAGACUUUGGACACGUCCACCGCCUGAAUCUGAGGGGACUCUGCCUACGCAAAGGCCUCUGCAGCUUAGUCUUCCAGAUGGACAGGGAAGCACACAGGCCCUUUUCCAUGUCCACGUGGCCAGCACCGCGUGAAGAGGCGCUGGGUGUCAGCAGUUUCUGGGGGGAGGCAGUCCUUCCGGUCACCACAGCCCUGGGCUGGACGUGCCUGGACGCAGCUCUCUGGUGCCAUGUGCAUAGUAGUAGGAGUCUGGAGACUGGGCCACUUGAAGAUCAAAUGCCGCCCUCUCUGUGACCUGCAGUCCACUGUGGCACCCAGCAGCCUGCUCGUGGUGGCCAGAGCUUGGUGGGUGGCCUGCUAACACGACAGCCUGGACGAACGUCAACAUUUGCUGAGCUGGAAGAAGUUACCACGUCUCCAGCAGUGGGUGCCAACGCAGUGGUACCCCCUGCAUGGGUAUUGGCCAGGACGGUGCACAGGGACUGGCAGGUGGUAAGUCCCAACUGAGGAGGUCUCGGGUCGGUGCACCCGUGAAACUAGGAGGUCAUAAGAAGUGUCACAGAGUCGGCUCUGAAUGUUCAAAUGCCUGGAAGAGAAAAUAAGGUGCUCCGAGGUUAGAGAGUAGGGGGACGGUGUCACCGGAAGACCAAGGACAGGCGAGUGAGGCUCCAGAGGGCAGCCGGGGACCCCGGGGCCUAGGCACACAGGGGAUUCCAGAGGGUGGAGGUCAGACUGACAGGUCACUGUGGAAACAAGUCUCCAGAAUGCAAGGUCCCGGGUAGCAUGAAAUCGCAACUGAGGGUUUGAGAGCCGUGGAGGCGAAGACCGUUCCCAAAUAACAGGAGGGGAGAGCUCCAGGCCAGCUGUCAGGACGGCACUCGUCCUCACAGUGACCCCAGGGGUUCAAGGACAAACUGCAGCCCAGAAUGGUGCCCCGGCCAGCAGUUAAGGGUGUAAGGAGUCAGAUUGUAUUUCCAAGCAAUCUCAGACUGACCCACGUACCAUGUCUUGGUUCGCUGCUCAGGAAGUGCUCCCUGAAAGACAAGUUUUGGGGACCCACUAAAAGGAAGCCCACCCAGGAGAGGUCAUGGGCCUCCGGGGCCUGGAGCAGCAGUGCAGAUGGUGCCCAGGAGCCUGGACAGAAGAGCAGGCUGCAGAAGAGUCGCAGGGCAGGUUGUGCAGACCACCUUGGGGGGCCACACCAUGAGAGGGCAGCGAGCGGCAGCGUGAGUGCGUGGGAACCGCUCUCAGGGGAACAUGCCGAGCAGCAGAGGGGCACAGUGCCUGCCUGAGUCACAGCGAGCACACAGAGCAGGGUGCCACCACAGGGAGGCCAACAGCGCCAGGCCAGGGCUCCCACAGGCCGUAGCUUGGACAUGUUUAUAUAGUGACAGAUGCAAAUGCCAGGGAAUCGUGAAGCCGCUGGACGUGGGAGCGGGGACUGCUGACUCUUCAGUUCAUGAGAAAAAUAGCUGAUCACAAGACACGGGCAGGCGUGGUGGCCAUGCCUGUGGCCCAGGAAAAGGAACGGGCCUGGGGCGGUGUCUCGGUUGUAAGGCACCUGGUGAGUCGGGGCCAAAGCACGCGCACGGUGACAAACCGCACCAUCAGCCGGGGUUUUGUUUGGUCGGCUUUUAAUUUUGUUUUGGGGCCUGGGGAUUGAAACCAAGGGUGCUCUACCACUGGACCACACCUAUUUUUUGAAUCAGGGUCUCAAAGCUGCCCAGGUUGGUCUCAAACUUGAGAUCCUCCUGUCUCUACCUCUCGAGCUGCUGGAUCACAGCGUGGCCAUGGGCCGGCUCAGGUUGUCCCUUGGUCCAAGAGGGCACGAGGCAAGGGAGAGGACGUCCCGGCCAGGGAGUGCUCCUUCAGCUCCAGCCUCUGCAAACGUGCCCCGCCUCGCUGGCUGUGAGGACGUGGAGGUCACCUUGGCCCUGAUGGCAGAGCUUACAUGGACCUAGUCUUUGGGAAUCUCCCGUGCUCUGGCGCUGUCCACGUUUACAGUCAGCUACGAGAACAAAAUCUAGGAAAGUCAAAGAUGUCAAUCUUCCCAGCCUGGCACAUCCUUCGCACACCCGUCUGGCCCUGCGGGGUGAGCUGCCUGCCCACAUGGGGCAGGCGCGAGGAGGUUCCACACAGCUGCCUUGUCUGCAGCACAGAGCACCCGAGUGUCCAGGCCACGGUUGCACCUGAGCCCGCAUAGAGGACAGGCCACAGGCCUGCUCUUAGACACCCUCAUCAUGGGUCUUCAAUCCACGUGAGACAGUGGUUACCUGAAGCGGCAUGGGAAUGAGCUGCCCUAGGUGUAGCUGGCGGUCACCACUGACGGGGCUAAGACACAGCCCCUCCCACUCCCACCAGUUCGCGGGGCCCUGAGCACGUUCUUUAGACCCGACUCUCUCUUGCUCACGUUUGUCAGGUGAACCUCCUUCCCACCCACCACCCCCAGCAGCCUCCUCCCCAAAUAGCUGUGGCCCCGUCCCCUGCCAGGGUCCUUCAUCCCUGCUCCGGCAGGCCCUCCUGGCCUCUCCUGUAGGCAACACGUGCCAGCUCAGGCCCACCUGGGUCCACAGCCCUAUGGCCUUGGCUGGCCAGAGCCUCAGAUGCCUCCUUAUAAAGUGGCAGGAUGCCAAUUUCUGUCAUGGGUAUGAGCGGCUCUACCCAGGCCUGGGUGUGUGGGCGUGAUGUGGCUGUCUCCCCUCUGCCUGGGAGUGUGAUGUGCAGCCGGGCGGCCAGCAGGGGGCCAGAGGGCAGGUUCAGCUAGGCCUGGCCUGGCCAAGGUGCCACAGGGAGGGGCUAAGCACACAUGGGUCUGCAGGAGGGCUUCUGUGAGGGAGGGUGACCUCUAGCUCAGGCAGCCUUAGGGAGUGCUGGGGACCCUGCCAGCCAGGAUGACCAUUGGAGGCCAGAGCCACAUGGCCAAAUGCCUGACCUUCCUCUAGAGCUGGGUGGGGUCUGGAGCCUGACCUCAGGGUCCUCUCUGCAGAGCUCUUGCAGCCAGGAGGUGGCGCCAGGGCUCUCAGGUGACCAUGGAGAUCCCAGGACCCUGGCCUUCGUCUUGAGCCUGGGAAGGGGUCCUUGGUGGGAUUCUGGUCCCUGGGCUCUAUUGGAUGCCUAUCUGGCAGUGACACACUGGGCUGGCCUUCACAUUCCCCUCCUGUGCUGUGUCCCUCCAUGUCACCUCAUCCUGGUCUUCCUGCCCUGGGUCCUUGCAGGCUGCAGACCCAGGCCUGGUCCCUUUUGAGCUGCUCCACGGGAGGACUGGAGCACUGGGGCCAGGCACACACAGUUCCCAUGGUGCAGACCCCAGCUUAGCUCAGAGUUUGCAGGGACACCCUGCCUGUCCCCAUGCCUGCCCUCCAUGCUGGCUUGGGAUCCCAUCAGCAACUCCAGGAGUAUCAGGGCAGGUGCCUUGUCCAAAAGGCAAAAGGGCAACUCAGGUCAACUUAAGUGCCCACAACCAGUGACCCACCAAGCCAGCAUGGCCGUGGAUGGAGGUGACGGUGCUGUAGACCAGGAGGCGGCCCUGCACACGGUAGUGGGAGGCCCCAGACAGGCAGAGGGUCCGCACUGGGCCCCCAGUGGACAAGAUGGCCACGCUCAUCUUUAAGAAGAUCUGGGCAGGGGCAAAAGGGAUCUUCUAGGCUGGGCGCCUGUCCCCACCGUGUUCUGGUGGGGCAGCCUCCAGGGCCCCCCUCCAGCUGACCACAGUUGAGCUGCUUCCCCGACCUUGGCUUCCAGAGUCCACCUGCUCAGCCCUUGUCCGCUCAGGGGACAUGUGCGGCUGGCAGAGCAGGGAGGGAUGACCUUCCGGGACCUGCCGACACCCGGAACCCCAGAAGAAGAGGAGCGCCAGCUGCCUUUGAUCCCCGUAGGACCACUGGGGCCUCCUGGGUGGGGAAGGGAGGGACAAAAGAAGAAAUAGGACCAAGACUGGCUGUGGCUGUCCUAGGGGAGCCCCUCACCCACAGCACCAGCACUGUGGGCUGGGGCACACACAAGUUUACACCUGGAAACUUCCCGCCAGUGUCUGAAUCACGGAAUUGCCACAGACUCCCCCAAGGCCAUGGGCGCAUCUGGAAGAAGUUCCCACGAGGAGACCUGAACUCAGCUCCACUGAGGGGGAAACAGCUCCCUCCACCCCUACCCCAGAACCCCCAGCCCAAACAUGAACCCACCUUCAGGGAAUUACACAUGUUGAAAAUAGAACAGGGCCCGGCGUAGGGCACACAUGAUCCCAGCAGCUCGGGAGGCUGAGGCAGGAGGAUCGAGAGAGACCCUGUCUCUAAAUAAAAUGCAAAAUAGGGCUGGGGAUAUGGUUCCGUGGUUGAGUGCCCCUGGGUUCAAUCCCUGGUACCAGAAGUAAAUAAACAACGGGAGAGUGUUGAACUUCAUAUGACACAGAGGAGCCCUGAGGUCAGUCAGUCCUACACAGGUAGG